rnacentral:sRNA from 1 species
AUAACUCUGGAAAACCGUGAAUAGUAUUGACAAUAUUAAUUGAUAAGAGAUCUCUAGGAGUGUAUAUAUAAUGCAAUUGUAACACAUUUUAUCUUUAUUAAUUGUAGGAUUGUAAAGCAUACACUCUGCAUUAGUUUGUGCACAAUAUAUUCAAUGUCGUGAAAACAGUACAGCCCAGAUUGCUUACAUUCACACUAAAGAAACAUUUACUCUUUAAGCAGACAGGACUAUAUUAGUCUCUUGUUGACAAAUUGUUAACCGUUUUUACUUGAUAUUUUUUUUCAUAUUUCUUGAAUAUAUGAACACCUAGACCCACACUGGCACCAAAAGUGAACUAUUGAGGGUUUAAAGUAUCAGUUCUGUAUGAAGGCAUUUCUGUGACUGAUAUUCAAAUUCUAAAUGUAUGACAAGAGAAAGGAUCUCUGGGUAAAAAUAAAGACAAGCAUUCCAUGUAGAGGAUAUGACAUGUCAAAAGUUAUAAAUAAAACUAGGAUGUUUC